AGUUUUUGGCACUUAUUAACAAGAUUACUAUCAAUAUCCCUGUGAAGACUUGUGUGGACAUCAGUUUUUAACUCAUUUAUUGUGCUCUCAGGGCGACUGGCCAAGGAGAAGCGCCCCUCUGUACAGAAGUAAAUUUGCUUUGCUGAGAAAUCCUUCAGUUGAGUGCUCAUUUUCCUUAAGACUCCAAGCUUUAGUUGCAACAAUUCUUGAUGCCUAAUGAAGGGUCUCCUAGCACAGACACCAACACUGGAGUUCCUUUCAUCAGCAUCAACCUGGAGAUCACGUCGUCAUCAAAGGGUGGAAAGAAGAAAAACUUGAGCCAGCUUAGGAAGGACCUUAUCUAGUGUUCCUGACUACUGAAACUGCAAUCUGAACAGUGGAAAGAAGCCUGGGAACCUUGCAGUGAUUGGGACUACAUCCUUUGGACCACUCAAAACCAAGGGUGGGAGCUGGACAUUUGAGAUAAUAUAGCAACUCUGAGUUCUGAUCAUCCCCAAGACUGCUGUUGCUG